rnacentral:rRNA from 1 species
GACGAACGCUGGCGGCGUGCUUAACACAUGCAAGUCGAGCGGUAAGGCCCUUUCGGGGGUACACGAGCGGCGAACGGGUGAGUAACGCGUGGGUGACCUGCCCUUAGCUCUGGGAUAAGCCUGGGAAACUGGGUCUAAUACCGGAUAUGACUCCAUAACGCAUGUUGUGGGGUGGAAAGCCUUGUGCGGCUAGGGAUGGGCCCGCGGCCUAUCAGCUUGUUGGUGGGGUGAUGGCCUACCAAGGCGACGACGGGUAGCCGGCCUGAGAGGGCGACCGGCCACACUGGGACUGAGACACGGCCCAGACUCCUACGGGAGGCAGCAGUGGGGAAUCUUGCGCAAUGGGCGAAAGCCUGACGCAGCGACGCCGCGU